rnacentral:tRNA from 1 species
GCCCGGUUGGUCAAGUGGUCAAGAUAUCGCCCUCUCACGGCGGAGUCAGGGGUUCGACUCCCCUACCGGGUACCA